rnacentral:rRNA from 1 species
UACGUAGGGUCCAAGCGUUAUCCGGAAUCACUGGGCGUAAAGCGUGCGUAGGUGGCGCGUUAAGUGAGGUGUUAAAUCGUGUGGCUCAACCAUAUCGAUGCAUCUCAUACUGGCGUGCUAGAGGACAGCAGAGGCAAGUGGAAUUUGUAGUGUAGCAGUGAAAUGCGUAGAUAUUACAAGGAACACCAAGUGGCGAAGGCAGCUUGCUGGCUACUCCUGACACGAGGACGAAAGCGUGGGGAGC